rnacentral:rRNA from 1 species
AUACGGAGGGUGCAAGCGUUAAUCGGAAUUACUGGGCGUAAAGGGCGCGUAGGCGGUCUAUCAAGUCAGUUGUGAAAUCCCACGGCUCAACCGUGGAGGUGCAUCUGAAACUGAUAGACUUGAGUAUGGGAGAGGAAAGUGGAAUUCCCGGUGUAGAGGUGAAAUUCGUAGAUAUCCGGAGGAACACCAGUGGCGAAGGCGACUUUCUGGACCAAUACUGACGCUGAGGCGCGAAAGCGUGGGGAGCAAACAGGAUUAGAAACCCUAGUAGUCC